AAAUAAUAAAAGGCUAAUUUUACUUUAUGAAAGUAUUGGCUGACAUUCAACACUGACAUCCUGCCUGCUUGUUCGCUCGGCUUGAGCACUGCUUGAACCUCAUUUGACCUGGCCACAGAUCCAUCUGGUGUGGAGGGGGAAAGAGAGGUGAAGUGCCCUUUGACCUUCUGAAGGAAGGGGAGCAGCUCCAUAUCUCAUGCUCCUCAGCCAAGUCUGUUUGAUCUGGACUCACCUCAGUUCACAAGUCUCAGCUUCUGGCCCCAUCCCACAAAGGGAGGAAUGUGUAGAACUGGUGGAGAAGAAUUGCUUUGUUGGGCCCAAACAAUACUGAAAUUUAUGGUUUAUGGCAGCCGUGUGAAGAUAUACUAGACUUGAAAACAUGCCUGAGAUGGGUGAGGUCACCAGCAAAUACUGUGAUAUAUGACAGGGCUUUGGUUCUUUGAUUAUUAAUGUCCUAUAUUUAUUCAUGAGGCUUUUGCAGUGUUUCUGAGUGAACCUGUGCUAGUCAUUUGAUUCAUCAUUACAUCCUGAGGCCUCGGUUGCAGCCCCAGGAGGAAAAACACUUUAUGUUUGAUGAAAAGAGGUGUUUGAGAAGCAGACCACAAUAUCUGCAUGAAGCCCACCUGCAUGACAAAAGGGACCACCAAGAUUAAAUACAAGGUUUCCAUGGAAACCAGCUGAAGUCUGACUACACUGACUUUAAAUGCCUGCAUAGACAUCACAGCCUGAGUCAUUGGACUAGCACUGUAUAGGCCUUCCCUCUUUAAGCAUUAUGUAGCUGUCGGGACAGGAAUUUUGCUUCACACAGAUUGUUCAUCGAUCCUUUUAGAUGCUAGGAUGGCCAAAAGUAUGUCAGGCUCCCUAACCAAAACCAUAAACUUAGGUUGCAAAACACUUGAGAAAAUAACAUUGCCCCAAAUUACGUGUACAUAUUAUGCAUACCAAAUGGUUUCACAUCAGUUUGCAUUAAGGCACAGUUGAUUAUUCAGUUUGGAUAGGAUCAUGACUGUCAAACUGUAUGGCAGUCUUUAAGAAGUAAGCAGAUAAUUAUACUUAAAGUGUCUGUGGAAUACCAUAUUUUAACAAAUGUAUCUCCAAUGCUACCAGGUCCUAGUAGUGACACAUAUGAGUUAUUGUGAUGCACAAUCACUAUGGAAAGGCAAAUUUUGUUUAUCCAGGGGUGGGUGCUGCCACAAAAGUGGCAACUGACCUCCAAAAAUGUAUAUGUGUAGAAUGCAAAAUGUUGCUUCUAUGAGAUGGUUACAGUUACAUUUUUACAUUCUUUUUUUUCAGUGCUUUUCAAAAUUUUGAUAACGAAAAAAUUCUGAGCCUUUCCCUGCCAGCUGCCUAUCAUGCAAACUGUCUUUUGGUAUAGCUAGUUAGAUGUGGAUCACUUCUCUGUGUCAAAUCUCAACUCAGUCUUUAACCUGGAUAAAGAAUGCCGAUCACGUGUUUGGUUUCGUCAGAGGACGUCAGUCAAUGCUAUUUGUUCAGGCUCCAUUUGGCACAAUGCCUUUAGAGCCAAAACAAUAUUGAGCUUUGUUUUGUAAAAUGCCAUAAAGGG
ensembl:lncRNA